rnacentral:rRNA from 1 species
AACGAACGCUGGCGGCAGGCUUAACACAUGCAAGUCGAACGGGUGUAGCAAUACAUCAGUGGCAGACGGGUGAGUAGCACGUGGGAACCUUCCUAGGGGUACGGAACAACUCAGGGAAACUUGAGCUAAUACCGUAUACGUCCGUGAGGAGAAAGAUUUAUCGCCCUUAGACGGGCCCGCGUCGGACUAGCUAGUUGGUGGGGUAACGGCCUACCAAGGCGACGAUCCGUAGCUGAUCUUAGAGGAUGAUCAGCCACACUGGGACUGAGACACGGCCCAGACUCCUACGGGAGGCAACAGUGGGGAAUCUUGGACAAUGGGCGCAAGCCUGAUCCAGCCAUGCCGCGUGAGUGAAGAAGGUCUUCGGAUUGUAAAGCCCUUUUGCCAGGGACGAUAAUGACGGUACCUGGAGAAUAAGCCCCGGCAAACUUCGUGCCAGCCGCCGCAGUAA